GUAGCCUUCGGUACCGAGUUAGGUCCAUCUUUCACCCACGGUGGACGAAAUCUCUGAGUGUUUCCGCCGGACAUUCAAAAUGUUCUACUGUACAAUAUAAAUAGACAACAAACGCAAUAUUAACACCGAUGGAUGAUAAUGACUAACUGGAAAGAAAAUUCGUUAAAAACGCAGAAAAACAGAACGAAUGGCAGUGGCGAACUGGACGGCAUAAAAAUAGAAUUUAUUAUUAUGGUGUGGGAAGAUAUUUCACACUGUUUGGCGACAUUCCAUAUCAAAUACUCGGUAGUAUAUUUGAAACAAUGUCUUGCUGAUGGCCGGACCGACUGUUUUGAUUGGUAUACCAUAAGAUAUAUUUGAUAAUAAAAGUGGAUUACCUGAUCUUUUAAAUGCAUUUACAAGUAAUCUCGGACUAGGGUAUUGUUCAACAAUUGCAAAUGCCUUAUGAACAGACAAACCUCGGAUCUGAAAGCUCGAGGAAAAAGUUUUAAAAGAUAUAAGUUUUACAAUGUUUGAGGAGUUUCCAUAACCGGAAUCGACUUCAUCAACAUGAGUUGUAAGCGUUUUGUCCUGUAAAUAAUUUAAAAACAUCAAUAAACUUCAAAAAUAAAUUGAUUUA